rnacentral:rRNA from 1 species
AGAGUUUGAUCCUGGCUCAGAACGAACGCUGGCGGCGUGCCUAACACAUGCAAGUCGAACGUGAAAGGGGUAGCAAUACCCCAAGUAAAGUGGCGCACGGGUGAGUAAUGCAUGGGUAACCUGCCUUGAAGGCUGGGAUAACCCUCCGAAAGGGGGGCUAAUACCGGAUAAUAAAGAGGGUUGAAAGAUUUCUCUUUUAAAGGAUCCCCGCAAGGGGGAGUCGCUUCAAGAUGGGCCCAUGUCCCAUUAGCUAGUUGGUAGGGUAACGGCCUACCAAGGCUUUGAUGGGUAGCCGGUCUGAGAGGAUGAUCGGCCACACUGGCACUGAAACACGGGCCAGACUCCUACGGGAGGCAGCAGUGAGGAGUUUUGCGCAAUGGGCGAAAGCCUGACGCAGCAACGCCGCGUGAGGGAAGAAGGCCUUCGGGUUGUAAACCUCUUUCGACUGGAAAGAAGUCCCCUGCAAAGGGGGUUGACGGUACCAGGAGAAGAAGCCACGGCUAACUCUGUGCCAGCAGCCGCGGUAAGACAGAGGUGGCGAGCGUUGUUCGGAAUUACUGGGCGUAAAGGGUGUGUAGGUGGUUGGAUAAGUCAGAGGUGAAAGCCCAUAGCUUAACUAUGGAAGUGCCUUUGAUACUGUUUGGCUAGAGUGCAGGAGAGGAGGGUGGAAUUCCCGGUGUAGAGGUGAAAUUCGUAGAUAUCGGGAGGAACAUCAGCGGCGAAGGCGGCCCUCUGGACUGCAACUGACACUGAAACACGAAAGCGUGGGGAGCAAACAGGAUUAGAUACCCUGGUAGUCC